CCUACGGGAGGCAGCAGUGGGGAAUUUUGGACAAUGGGCGCAGGCCUGAUUCAGCAAUGCCGCGUGAGUGAAGAAGGCCUUCGGGUUGUAAAGCUCUUUUGUCAGGGAAGAAACGGUCUACUCUAAUACAGUGGGCUAAUGACGGUACCUGAAGAAUAAGCACCGGCUAACUACGUGCCAGCAGCCGCGGUAAUACGUAGGGUGCAAGCGUUAAUCGGAAUUACUGGGCGUAAAGCGUGCGCAGGCGGUUAUAUAAGUCAGAUGUGAAAUCCCCGGGCUCAACCUGGGAACUGCAUUUGAGACUGUAUGGCUAGAGUGUGUCAGAGGGGGGUAGAAUUCCACGUGUAGCAGUGAAAUGCGUAGAUAUGUGGAGGAAUACCGAUGGCGAAGGCAGCCCCCUGGGAUAACACUGACGCUCAUGCACGAAAGCGUGGGGAGCAAACAGGAUUAGAUACCCUGGUAGUCCACGCCCUAAACGAUGUCUACUAGUUGUCGGGACUUAAUUGUCUUGGUAACGCAGCUAACGCGUGAAGUAGACCCGCCUGGGGGAGGUACGGUCGCGAGAGUAAACUACGAAAGAAGUAGAGCGNGAGAGAGCGACGGACGACGACGAGGGAGGAGG
rnacentral:rRNA from 1 species